AGAGAAAUGUAUUUCUCUUCCAGGUUCUGGGGAACAGGGGAUUCAAGGAAGAGAAGGAGAAGUCAGACCAUGUCUCCAAUGAACACGGAAGAAGGAGCGCUUACAGAUUUUGACGCACAGAGGAAUUAAGGGAAGGCUUUGACCAUGUCUACAAGAGACCCAGAAAGUAAAGAGCAUGCAGCGUUGAAGAAAGUGAGCAC